rnacentral:rRNA from 1 species
GACGAACCGUGCGAACGUUGUUCGGAUUCACUGGGCUUAAAGGGCGCGUAGGCGGUCGCCAUAGUCGGGGGUGAAAUCUUUCAGCUUAACUGGAAAAUGGCCUCCGAUACUGGGCGGCUGGAGGAGGGUAGGGGCGCGCGGAACUUCCGGUGGAGCGGUGAAAUGCGUAGAUAUCUGGAGGAACACCGGUGGCGAAGGCGGCAUCCUGGACCAAUUCUGACGCUGAGGAGCGAAAGCCAGGGGAGCAAAGCGGGG